rnacentral:rRNA from 1 species
UGGGGAAUAUUGCACAAUGGGCGCAAGCCUGAUGCAGCCAUGCCGCGUGUAUGAAGAAGGCCUUCGGGUUGUAAAGUACUUUCAGCGGGGAGGAAGGGAGUAAAGUUAAUACCUUUGCUCAUUGACGUUACCCGCAGAAGAAGCACCGGCUAACUCCGUGCCAGCAGCCGCGGUAAUACGGAGGGUGCAAGCGUUAAUCGGAAUUACUGGGCGUAAAGCGCACGCAGGCGGUUUGUUAAGUCGGAUGUGAAAUCCCCGGGCUCAACCUGGGAACUGCAUCUGAUACUGGCAAGCGUGAGUCUCGUAGAGGGGGGUAGAAUUCCAGGUAGAGCGGUGAAAUGCGUAGAGAUCUGGCGGAAUACCGGUGGCGAAGGCGGCCCCCUGGACGAAGACUGACGCUCAGGUGCGAAAGCGUGGGGAGCAAACAGG